rnacentral:rRNA from 1 species
AUUGAACGCUGGCGGCAUGCCUAACACAUGCAAGUCGAACGGCAGCACAGAUAUAGUUUACUAUAUUGGGUGGCGAGUAGCGGACGGGUGAGUAACGCGUGGGUAUAUGACCUAAUGACGGGGACAACUUGCGGAAACGCGAGCUAAUACCGGAUAAGCUCUGAGGAGGAAAGCUGGGGAUCUGGCGACAGACCUGGCGCUUUAGGAGUAACCUGCGUCCAAUUAGCUAGUUGGUAGGGUAAAGGACCUACCAAGGCGACGAUUGGUAGCUGGUCUGAGAGGACGGACAGCCACACUGGGACUGAGACACGGCCCAGACUCCUACGGGAGGCAGCAGU